AACCGCCUAGAGGUAAACGGGUGGAUCCGCAAAGUCGGCCCGCGGAAUUCAGCUCGGAAGGCUGGCGCGGGCGGCGGGCAAGAGAUCUGAUCUGGGACUCUCCCGUCCCGCUCGUCCGCUGGUCGGCCGUGUGCACUUUCCGCGGGCAGAGCGCCACGACCGGUUCUCGGGCGGUCAGAAGGCGGCGAGGAAGGUAGGUGUGUGCCUCGGCGUGCACUGUUACAGCCUCGCCUGUCCCGAUCCGCUCGGGGACCGAGGAGCCGCCGUCGGUCGCGGCCACUCCGCUCUCUUGGGGAGUUCCACUGGCAGAGACUGGGCAACCGUGUCUGCCGACCGCUCUCUUGGAUGGUCGGAGCCGGGCCUGGCCGGCACAGGGUCGGUGGCGAAUCGGUCGGCCCUCCACCCGACCCGUCUUGAAACACGGACCAAGGAGUCUAACAUGCGCGCGAGUCGUUGGGUAGUACGAAACCCGAAGGCGAAGUGAAAGCGAGGGCGCGCCUCUGGUGCGCUCAGGUGGGAUCCCGCUCUACAGGCUCGCAAGGGUUUGUGAGUGGGCGCACCGCCGGCCCGUCUCGUCCGCGUUGUCGGUGAGGCGGAGCAAGAGCGUGCACGUUGGGACCCGAAAGAUGGUGAACUAUGCCUGAGUAGGAUGAAGCCAGAGGAAACUCUGGUGGAGGUCCGCAGCGAUUCUGACGUGCAAAUCGAUCGUCAAACUUGGGUAUAGGGGCGAAAGACUAAUCGAACCAUCUAGUAGCUGGUUCCCUC
rnacentral:rRNA from 1 species